rnacentral:lncRNA from 1 species
GCUAUAUUUAGAACUGGUGAAGGUUGGGAGGUUCUGGUGGUUGAAGGUGGGAUUUCAGAGGUAGUAAAAAUAGGUUGUGAAGAGAGAGGGUCAGAAGAAGCCAUCAGAGGAUUAGAGGUAACAGGAGGAACAGACGUACCAGUAGAUAUAUUCAGAGGAGCUGAAGAUUUGCUUCCAGAAGUUUCUCCAAGUCUGGCCUUCUUUGCCUGAGAUGCUACCUUCUUUUCAGAAAGACCUCUC